UUCCUGUUUUCGUAGCUCGGCGAAGAAGAUGAUGGUGUACGAAGUGUUGAGAGAGAUUCUCAAGAUCCAGAAGUCUCGAAGGAUCGUAUCUUACGCUGGAUUCUACUGCUUCACUGCUGCUUUGACUUUCUUCUAUACCAACAACACAACAAGAGCAGGAUUUUCGAGAGCGGAUCAGUUUUAUGCAUCUUACCCAGCCGGCACAGAGCUUCUUACAGACACUGCCAAGCUGUACAAAGCGGCGCUUGGGAAUUGCUUUGAAUCGGAGGAAUGGGGUCCGAUCGAGUUCUCCAUAAUGGCUAAGCAUUUUGAGCGUCAGGGGAAAUCACCUUACGCUUACCACUCUGCAGGAAAACUCAGGGAAUUAGCAGUUAUACACAGUCAUUGUAUGUAGCAGAGUCUAUACUCCGGAUGAACUAGGGAGAAAAAAAGUAGAAAGAUGCGAAAUUUAUGGGUUGGAAUCCUAUUCCGGUGCCCUCAAGCCGUGUAUGCUUUGAUAAUGGAGUAUGUAUUCUUCAUCUUGGUUGGUUGUUUAUGUGCAGCAAUACAUGGCUCAUCUUCUUUCUCUCGGACAACUUGAUGGAAGUGGCUAAGCUUGGCACAUAUACGCAUGUAUAUAUAUGAGCGAGACUCAUUGGAAGCUUGAUCCGACCAAUCCGAAAAGGUACAUUCAAGACAUGGUUGCUUCCCCUUGUUCCCAGAUCUUUCCUCCUAUGCAUUGAUUUAUGAUUUGGGUUGCAGAGCUUUAGAGCCAAUCACUUUGUAUAGAUAUGGAGUCACUUGUAACGAUUAUGUUGAGUUUCUUCUCCCUGUUAUGGGUUGUAGGAAUCGAAUCCGAUAUACCUAAGCAACUUCUCCAUGAUCAAUCAAAUCACACUGUCACUACUUGAAUUGGAUCCAGGGUUGUGCUUGCUUAAGAGAAGUUUUGAGAUUUAGGUCUGCCGUCUGUGUUCUUCAAAGUGUCUUUGUUCAUGAAUCCAUGCCUUGCUAUUUCUGAAAGCUGUUGUUUUUGUUUGAAUUUGUUUUCGAGUUAACUAAUGUGUUCGAUCCAUGGGCUUGAAUCUAGAAGGCCCAGAUGCUCCAAACAUCCAAUCGUGUAUAUGUGUAUGAUUAUUUAUCAUGGUUAAAUUAAAAAAUAUAUAAAAUUUAUGAUUCCACAGCACUCACAAAAGUCAAACAACACCAAAUCUUAAGUUUUUUUCUUCAGAUUUUACAACUCAAAUAUAAAAAGUUACAAAAUCAUACACGAACAUUACCCACACAGAUUUGACAAUGCAAAUUAAGCAGCAGAAAUACAAACCAAAAGGCAAAGUUAUCAAAUCAUGCAACUUAUGCCCAUUGCUUUAUUCAAAAACACAUAUUCAGAGACAUUACUUCCAUCUUCAUUCUUCAUAUAUAUAUACAUAUAUAUAUAUAUAUAGAAGAUGUUUGGAGAUUCAUCGUGACUCAG